rnacentral:rRNA from 1 species
AGCGCAGGCGGUCUUUUAAGUCUAAUGUGAAAGCCUUCGGCUCAACCGAAGAAGUGCAUUGGAAACUGGGAGACUUGAGUGCAGAAGAGGACAGUGGAACUCCAUGUGUAGCGGUGAAAUGCGUAGAUAUAUGGAAGAACACCAGUGGCGAAGGCGGCUGUCUGGUCUGCAACUGACGCUGAGGCUCGAAAGCAUGGGUAGCGAACA